rnacentral:rRNA from 1 species
UACGUAGGGUGCAAGCGUUGUCCGGAAUUACUGGGCGUAAAGGGCGCGUAGGCGGCCCGUCAAGUCCCGUGUGAAAGCCCCGGGCUCAACCUGGGAAUUGCAUUUGAGACUGAAUAGCUAGGGUGCGGAAGAGGGAAGCGGAAUUUCCGGUGUAGCGGUGAAAUGCGUAGAUAUCGGAAGGAACACCAGUGGCGAAAGCGGCUUCCUGGUCCAGCACCGACGUUCAGGCACGAAAGCGUGGGGAGCAAACAGG